rnacentral:tRNA from 2 species
GCCGAAGUGGUGGAAUUGGCAGACGCGCUAGAUUCAGGGUCUAGUGGGGGUUAACCCCGUGCGGGUUCAAGUCCCGCCUUCGGCACCA